UGGGGAAUUUUCCGCAAUGGGCGAAAGCCUGACGGAGCAAUGCCGCGUGGAGGUGGAAGGCCUACGGGUCGUCAACUUCUUUUCUCGGAGAAGAAACAAUGACGGUAUCUGAGGAAUAAGCAUCGGCUAACUUCGUGCCAA
rnacentral:rRNA from 1 species